AAAGAGAAGAGUGUGCUGAGUUUGAAUGAGCACUGAUAGAACGCAUUUACGUGGUCACUACUGUGAUAAAUUCAAGAAUACUGAGUGUGCUUCAUCCAAAAGGGCCAUAGCUACUGUUGUGAGGAAGUCUAAGGGUCCACUGAAGCAGCCCCUUUGCUGCUCUUGCUGCUGUUCCCACUGUUGGGUCCUCAGGGUGCCAGAUCUUUUGCCUGAAAAUAUAGCAGCUAUGCUUGUCCAACGUCUGCUGUUUCAUCUUGCUAAGGGGGCUUCUAUUGCAAUUACAAUGAUGCUGCUUAUCGGAAAGAAAACACCAUCAUGUUACAUUCUGUGAAAAUUUGACAGGACAAUUUUUGAGGCCAUUUGGAAGAUAGCCUGGGACGAAUCUGGGAAAAGACCAAGGUUCCUGGCUCUGAUCUUUGGAGACUCCAGAUUUUCUGGAUCAAGGCUAGAUUCUAGGGACUUGUGAGAAGACCAGAAAUGUCUUCUCUUUUCAGUGUAAAGACCAUAAUGUUAAAGAUAUUAACAAAUGUGCCGUAAUCUAUUCCUUGCCAUAAAGUUAUCUGCAAUUUACCAUUAAACUGUUUUUCACCCUUUGAGCUUCAGUGGAGGGGUCUCAGAAGAAAUGAGACUUACUCUGUGUUUC
rnacentral:lncRNA from 1 species